rfam:Picea glauca, whole genome shotgun sequence.
GAAUCCGUGGCGCUAUGGUAUCGCGUCUGACUUUAGAUUAAAAGGUUGCGUGCUCGUUUCACAUCGGGUUUA